GAUGAACGCUGGCUACAGGCUUAACACAUGCAAGUCGAGGGGAAACGACGGGGAAGCUUGCUUCCCCGGGCGUCGACCGGCGCACGGGUGAGUAACGCGUAUCCAACCUGCCUCUGACUGAGGUAUAACCCGUCGAAAGUCGGCCUAAUACCUCAUGGUAUCGUCUGCGGGCAUCCAACGACGAUUAAAGAUUUCAUCGGUCAGGGAUGGGGAUGCGUCUGAUUAGCUUGUUGGCGGGGUAACGGCCCACCAAGGCUACGAUCAGUAGGGGUUCUGAGAGGAAGGUCCCCCACAUUGGAACUGGGACACGGUCCAAACUCCUACGGGAGGCAGCAGUGAGGAAUAUCGGUCAAUGGGCGAGAGCCUGAACCAGCCAAGUAGCGUGCAGGAAGACGGCCCUAUGGGUUGUAAACUGCUUUUAUGCGGGGAUAAAGUGAGGGACGUGUCCCUCAUUGCAGGUACCGCAUGAAUAAGGACCGGCUAAUUCCGUG
rnacentral:rRNA from 1 species